CCACACGAAGCUGGAAUCGCUAGUAAUCGUGAAUCAGAAUGUCACGGUGAAUACGUUCCCGGGUCUUGUACACACCGCCCGUCACACCAUGGGAGUUGGGAAUACCCGAAGCCUGUGAGCUAACUUUUAGAGGCAGCAGUCGAAGGUAGAAUCAAUGAUUGGGGUGAAGUCGUAACAAGGUAGC
rnacentral:rRNA from 1 species